rnacentral:tRNA from 1 species
GCCGAAGUGGCGGAAUCGGUAGACGCAGCGGACUCAAAAUCCGCCGCCCUUAAAAGCGUGUGGGUUCGAGUCCCACCUUCGGCAGCA